rnacentral:rRNA from 1 species
GACGAACGCUGGCGGCGUGCUUAACACAUGCAAGUCGAACGAUGAAGCCGGAGCUUGCUCUGGUGAAUUAGUGGCGAACGGGUGAGUAACACGUGAGUAACCUGCCCUUGACUCUGGGAUAACUGCUAGAAAUGGUAGCUAAUACCGGAUACGACCCUCGGCGGCAUCGCCAGGGGGUGGAAAGAAUUUCGGUCAAGGAUGGACUCGCGGCCUAUCAGCUAGUUGGUGAGGUAACGGCUCACCAAGGCGACGACGGGUAGCCGGCCUGAGAGGGUGACCGGCAACACUGGGACUGAGACACGGCCCAGACUCCUACGGGAGGCAGCAGUGGGGAAUAUUGCACAAUGGGCGCAAGCCUGAUACAGCAACGCCGCGUGAGGGAUGACGGCCUUCGGGUUGUAAACCUCUUUUAGUAGGGAAGAAGCGAAAGUGACGGUACCUGCAGAAGAAGCACCGGCUAACUAUGUGCCAGCAGCCGCCGUAA